UGGACCGCAGUGUAGAACUGUGUUUGGACAGAAAAGGUGUAAUCUUAUGGAAAUAGACCGAGUGGGGAAUCCCAGCAAGGCCUGUCUGUUAAGGCUCUUCCUGGCCUCUCUGUGCAGCUGUCUUCCUUCCAGACUAGAAAAGAGCUUCAACAGUGGUUUAAAAGAAAACAGAAGAAAGUAUCACCAUCAAGUCAUCUGAGAAUGACUUUACAGCUCGAAGAAAGCCUUAAAAAGCAACAAGGCAGCCACAAGCCACAAAACCAACAAGCUGCAACCACAUUUGUAAUGAUCACAAUGGAAACCAGCAGCCUGUCAGCCAGUGGAAAGGUAGAAUGUUACUGGGGCUCCUUCAAAGCCCCAUCCCCAGGGAAUGGUCAUUAUUUAACCUGUCUCAUAGGUCCCUGGAAGACCCCAAUUGCAAGGUUGUCAUUGUUUGACUUGAGUUGGAGCUCAUGCAGUGAAAAGAGCCUUUUCUCUAUGGGGGUUUAUUAAAAACAAUUAGAGGCAAUUGUUUAACAUCAUGGCUGCCGGAUGCAAUCACCUUUGUAAAGAUUAUGACAGCAAAAGAAGUCUAGCAUAGCUGACUCCAUCUUGUUUCAAGCCUCACAGGCUGGCUGUCCUCACUUAUUCCUGGGUGUAGGUCAAGCUAACCAUGGGAGACAUUUAGUUUAUAGUUUAGCUUUGCAUCAAGGAUGAUAAUAGUACCUCCCUAAAACUGACCUCCUCCUUAAAACUGAAACCACCUUUUUAAGACUAAUGAAAGGCCACAAGAUUAGGAUUAUGGUGAGGGGCAGAGCUGAUUUCUGCUAAAAUGUAGGUACAGUUAAAUGAUAACCAGCCAUUUGUUCCCGAGCUUGCUUUUCUAUAAUGCAUUACUGCUCAAGAGUCAUGUGGCCAGAUGUCACAAGAUUUGUAGCUUCUACUUGGCCAG